rnacentral:lncRNA from 1 species
UCGCUCCGCGCCGGCUCGCGCUGCCUCCCGCGCCCCAGCCCCUGCCGAGGCGGCGGGGCCGCGGGCUUUGAUGGCGGCCGCAACUCCUCCGAGUCAUGAAUGUUUCAGCGCGCGGCGCGCGAGGUGAGGGCCGCGCGUCCAGGUGUAAGCUAGCAGGUUGUCGCCGACAUCUGUUUGCAGCAGCGGCAGCGGCCUCCCCAGGCCGCGGCGAGCGGCCGGAUUGUCAGCGGAGGUAGUUGAGAGCGGCAGAAGCGUUUUGGUCUCACGCUCGCUGCCUGGAGGCCUGAAACACCAAAGGGCCGGUGCAUAAAUUUCUCCCGAGUUCCGUCUCAGUAAAAGGAAAUCAGGAAGACCAAGAAGGUAUGAAGAUGGUACAUAUUCACACUGCUGAUUUCCAACCAAAUGAAAAAGAAAGUGCAUUUCAGAAGUUUUUGGAAGAGCAGCUUUAUUCCUCUCAGUCAGGAAAUGUUUUCUCUGCCUUCUGCUUUGCUUGCACCAAACAUUUUCAAACACUUGUUCUGCCAUCUACAUGGGCGUUGAUGAAACCCAGUGGUAACUCAUGAUUCAUGACACUGAAAAUAAAAAGGAACAUUAAUCUACAUGCUACGGUUUACACAGGAAAGUUUGUUUGAAUGUGUAGAAGAGGAAAAAGCAAAAACAGCAUGAAGGUGAUAUCAGAACAGGGACCACAAAACAACUGGCCAUCAUGGAUCUUUAAUGGAGAGAGGAGUGUUUAACAUGGAAACAUGGCACUUGUGUUGUUACAUGGCAAGAUGGUUAGCCACAGGCAGAGUAUGAAAUUUCCCACCAGGCUAAGCAAAUAAAGGAGUCCGUUGCCUUAGAGCUGUGUCAGAUCACAAAAUCCUUCCAAGUCCCCUACCACAAUGUGCCUUACGGGAAGCUUCUGACUGGAAAAUCUUGUCAUUCUAGCACUGCAAAGUGCACACGCAUGACAAAAUGUAGACAGGAUGCCUCAAGGUAUUGGUAGCAAGCAAGAUUUUGCCCUUUAGUUCUUGAAGACACCUUUCUUUCAUUAUGCACUCGGGAAAAGAAGAAAAUUAAUAGAGCGUUAUUCCACAGGAAGACGGCUUCUAACCAGCGAUCUUGAGUGGAGUUUAAGAGACUCAGGAUUUGAGAACUUGUCCCUGUGAUUGGUAGAUUUACCCCUCUUUUUAUGCGUGGGGUUUAGUAGUGCAUAAAGCAUUAGUAUCUGUAAACAUACCUAGGAGUUUGUUUUGUUUUUAAUUUAAGGGAAGCAGUAACCACAAAGCUUCCGCUCAGGGUUUUUUCUUCCUCCAAGUCUCCAGGGGCUCUUCAGCGUCACAAGCCAGCAACUCUCUUUGCAUGAAAAUUUCAAAGUUUAAUUAAUAUAAUUAAAGGCAACAGCAAGCAGCAGCCUGUGAAGAUUUUGCUCAUCUUUUUUAUGCCUUUUUGACAUUGAAUGACCUAUUACUGUAUGCGCAUUACUUGGAUUUUGAGGGGCACUCUACCUUGGUUAUGAUUCAGGAGAGGAAAAAGAGACCUCCUCUCAUCAAUUUGUAAAUGAAAUUUUCAGGAGGCUCGGCCACCACACAACAUCGAAAAUGUAUGUAUUGUAGUUUUUUAGAAAAACCACCGUGUCACGUCGACGAUGCCAAAUUAUGUUAGCGUGAGCGGAAGCACUGUGGGGGAGGAAGAAGGCAGCAGCUGAAGAAAAAAGCUCAAAUGAUCUAGUCACUUUCGAUACUGUACUUCAGAUGCGAAAUGGAUAUUCGACUCGAAACCUGACAAAGCACGCCUGCUUUGAUGUGAACUGGUCUAGACAAUGACCAGUGGCUGGGUCAGUGGGAUGUCUCUCUGCGAGCACAAAGGCUUAUCAAAUGACACUAAAAAUAAGUUCAACAACCAUCACAUUGGAAGAGAGAAGGCGAACAUUUCAUGUUUGGCGGGCAUGUGAAUGCACAUGAUGGAAAGAGCGAUUUGGAGCAUCCCAAUAUAAUUACCCCCAUUGUGCUCUUAAUGGAAAUUUCAAAGGACGGAAGUGAUUCUGUUGGUUGGUGUCCAGAUUUGCGGCACUGCUCCAAGAAGCCUUACUCACACACACAAAUAUAUAUAUGCAUAUAUAUAUAUCCUCUAGCUUGAAUCUUUUGCUCAAGUUUAUUUAUGUCACUGGCUGGCUGGAUCCAAAGUCAUGUGUCUACAUAUGCAUAAAUAAAAUUUUACCUGUGCCUCUGCUACCAUUUUCUUUAAGCUCACAUAAACUCAAGGCUUGUUAGGUUGAAUAUAUGAUUGUCCUGGUUAGUUUUAGGGAAGAAUUAUAUUCAGUUUCAAAAUAUCCCUUAGGUUCACAAAUAAUACUGUUGGCAGUAAUUAUCCAUGUGUACCAAUGUGACUUGGAAGUCUGAUGGACACCCAAUGAGUUCUUGUAGACCUCUGCAUCUGGGACAGGGCCUAUUGCUGUUUCCUUAAAUUGGCACUUCCUUUCUGACCAGUGCACACCCCUAAAUGGUAUUUCUGGGCAUCAAGGAUACUACAGAAUCUAGGGCUGUUUCUUUGGUAGUUACUUUGAAUUUGUCUAGUAUCAUAGGGCGUUUGUAUGACACUUGCGUUUUGCUACAGAUUAAUGUUAGUGGACCUCUGCCCUUAACUGGCAAAAUGGCUUUCUGUAGAUUGUAAGGCAAGUGGAUUUCCAGUUCACUAUGAGGAGCGCUCAACGAAGAGGGAGAGGCAAUGGUCUAUGUGUAGACUAAAAGUGUACCAUUCAUAAAGUUCAAAGACAGAAGGAGCUGCAUAGCACUUAAAGAUAUGAACCAGAUCCGUGUUAUGAUUUUCUCUGAUUAUGCUAACCAGCAAAUGAGAAGAAGUUGCUUUAAAGAGUACUGUUUUCUCACCAAAGGAUCAAAUUAAAAACCUCUACACUUUUCAACCAGGAGAGUAAAAGUUAGAAUAAAG